GGUAAACCAAAGUUCUAAGGUUAAAAUGUUUGGACUAAAGGAAGUGGAUGGAAGUGAAAGAGAAAACAGCAGCCCCUAAGAUAUGCCUACUCUUCUACGAAACCUGGUUACACCUCCGUGGCAGCAGGAUUGGUGCAAAGUUGGAUUGAAUUCCCUCAGAUGAAGUAAACCCUUUCAGUAUGCCAUCUCUAGAAACUGUAUCAAGUUAUCUCAAAAUUUAAAUUUCCUCUGACUUAUCUUCCCUCAAAAUAGAGUUCAAUCUUAAGAAAGGAAAUCCUAAAGCUUCAGUGGUCCAAAUGAAGUUAAUAAACCUGGAAAGUUUGCCUGGAAAUCUUCAGAACAUUUCAAACAUCUUUUUGUUACUACUAAGAAAACACAAAUGGUUAUAUAAUCUGAGCCAAAGCAAAAGUGAGAAAAUUGUUAAAAUACGAUGAAAAGGACCGCUCUUUGUAUGUCUCAUUGGCCAUGACUGGACCAGUUGUUCAACUUUUAAUUAUUCAUAAUAUCCAG
rnacentral:lncRNA from 13 species